UUAAUUACCGAUGAAAACUUCUUGAUCGAUUUCCUUCUCUAUCCCUAGCUCUGACUGUUAGUGUAAAGUGACUGACGUAAUGUCUGUGAUUUCCCCAAAUGCCGGAAACUCGACAGCAUAAUUUGUGGUAGUGGGGGACUGUGUUCUCACUCCCCCCCU